rnacentral:rRNA from 1 species
UAGGGGAGCGUUCUGUAAGCCUGCGAAGGUGUGCUGUGAGGCAUGCUGGAGGUAUCAGAAGUGCGAAUGCUGACAUAAGUAACGAUAAAGCGGGUGAAAAGCCCGCUCGCCGGAAGACCAAGGGUUCCUGUCCAACGUUAAUCGGGGCAGGGUGAGUCGACCCCUAAGGCGAGGCCGAAAGGCGUAGUCGAUGGGAAACAGGUUAAUAUUCCUGUACUUGGUGUUACUGCGAAGGGGGGACGGAGAAGGCUAUGUUGGCCGGGCGACGGUUGUCCCGGUUUAAGCGUGUAGGCUGGUUUUCCAGGCAAAUCCGGAAAAUCAAGGCUGAGGCGUGAUGACGAGGCACUACGGUGCUGAAGCAACAAAUGCCCUGCUUCCAGGAAAAGCCUCUAAGCAUCAGGUAACAUCAAAUCGUACCCCAAACCGACACAGGUGGUCAGGUAGAGAAUACCAAGGCGCUUGAGAGAACUCGGGUGAAGGAACUAGGCAAAAUGGUGCCGUAACUUCGGGAGAAGGCACGCUGAUAUGUA